rnacentral:rRNA from 1 species
UUGGAGGGCAAGUCUGGUGCCAGCAGCCGCGGUAAUUCCAGCUCCAAUAGCGUAUAUUAAAGUUGUUGCAGUUAAAAAGCUCGUAGUUGAAUUUCGAGAUCAAAUUGUUGGUCGUGCCUUGGUACGUACUGGCAUUAUUGGUUUCUCCCUUCUGAAGAACCAUGAUGUCAUUAAUUUGGUGUCAUGGGGAAUCAGGACUGUUACUUUGAAAAAAUUAGAGUGUUUAAAGCAGGCUCGCGCUUGAAUACAUUAGCGUGGAAUAAUGAAAUAGGACGUUUAAUUCUAUUUUGUUGGUUUCUAGGAUUGACGUAAUGAUUAAUAGGGAUAGUUGGGGGCAUUAGUAUUCAAUUGUCAGAGGUGAAAUUCUUGGAUUUAUUGAAGACUAACUACUGCGAAAGCAUUUGCCAAGGAUGUUUUCAUUAAUCAAGAACGAAAGUUAGGGGAUCGAAGACGAUCAGAUACCGUCGUAGUCUUAACCAUAAACUAUGCCGACUAGGGAUCGGAUGAUGUUAAUUUUUUAAUGACUCAUUCGGCGCCUUACGGGAAACCAAAGUGUUUGGGUUC